rnacentral:rRNA from 1 species
UACGAAGGGGGCUAGCGUUGUUCGGAAUUACUGGGCGUAAAGCGCACGUAGGCGGAUUGUUAAGUCAGAGGUGAAAUCCCGGAGCUCAACUUCGGAACUGCCUUUGGUACUGGCAAUCUAGAGUCCGGAAGAGGUUAGUGGAAUUCCCAGUGUAGAGGUGAAAUUCGUAGAUAUUGGGAAGAACACCAGUGGCGAAGGCGGCUAACUGGUCCGGUACUGACGCUGAGGUGCGAAAGCGUGGGGAGCAAACAGG